GCACUCAUAGUAUAACGGCUAUUACAUCCCCCUGUCCAGGGGAAAAUCGGAGUUCGAUUCUCCGUGAGUGCGCCA
rnacentral:tRNA from 1 species